GUCGAGGGAGAUUGUUGGAUUCGUCUGACAUGAAACCGGCGCACGGGUGCGUAACACGUAUGCAACCUACCUUUAACUGGGGUAUAGCUCAGAGAAAUCUGAAUUAAUCCCCCAUAAGACUACGACAUGGCAUCAUGAUGUAGUUAAAGCUCCGGCGGUUAAGGAUGGGCAUGCGGUACAUUAGCUAGUUGGUGAGGUAAUGGCUCACCAAGGCUACGAUGUAUAGGGGGUCUGAGAGGAUGAUCCCCCACACUGGUACUGAGACACGGACCAGACUCCUACGGGAGGCAGCAGUAGGGAAUAUUGGUCAAUGGACGCAAGUCUGAACCAGCCAUGCCGCGUGAAGGAUGAAGGCCCUAUGGGUCGUAAACUUCUUUUAUUAGGGAAGAAAAAAUGGGAUGCGUCCUAUACUGACGGUACUUAAUGAAUAAGGAUCGGCUAACUUCGUGCCAGCAGCCACGGUAAGACGAAGGAUCCAAGCGUUGUCCGGAUUUACUGGGUUUAAAGGGUGCGUAGGCGGAAAAUUAAGUCAGUGGUGAAAGCCCGCAGCUCAACUGUGGAACUGCCAUUGAAACUGGUUUUCUUGAAUAUAGCUGAGGCAGAUGGAAUAUAACAUGUAGCGGUGAAAUGCUUAGAUAUGUUAUAGAACACCGAUUGCGAAGGCAGUCUGCUAAACUAUUAUUGACGCUGAGGCACGAAAGCGUGGGGAGCGAACAGGAUUAGAUACCCUGGUAGUCCACGCCCUAAACG
rnacentral:rRNA from 1 species